rnacentral:rRNA from 1 species
ACUCAAAGGAAUUGACGGGGAGGCGCACAAGCAGUGGAGCGUGUGGUUUAAUUCGAGACAAAGCGAAAAACCUCACCAGGGUUUGACAUGCAAUUGCUAAUCCCGUGAAAGCGGGACUCCUUCGAGGGUAUUGCACAGAUGCUGCAUGGCUGUCAUCAGUUCGUGGCGUGAGCUGUUUCCUUUAGUGGAUAAACGAACGCAACCCGCAUCGUAUGUUAAAUUAUUCAUACGAAACUGCCCCAUUUUUUGGGGAGGAAGGCGCGGAUGAUGUCAAGUCAGCACGGCUCUUACACCCUGGGCUACACACACCCUACAAUGGCGAAAAACAACGAGCUGCAAACCGGUAACGGCAAGCUAAUCUCUCAAAUUUCGCCUCAGUUCAGAUCGAGGUCUGCAAUUCGACCUCGUGAAGUCGGAAUUGCUAGUAAUCGCGAAUCAGCAGGUCGCGGUGAAUACGUUCUCGCCUCUUGUACACACCGCCCGU